UACGAAGGGAGCUAGCGUUGUUCGGAAUCACUGGGCGUAAAGCGCACGUAGGCGGAUGUGUCAGUCAGGGGUGAAAUCCCGGAGCUCAACUUCGGAACUGCCCUUGAUACAGCACGUCUUGAGUCCGGAAGAGGUGGGUGGAAUUCCUAGUGUAGAGGUGAAAUUCGUAGAUAUUAGGAAGAACACCGGUGGCGAAGGCAGCUCUCUGGGACGGUACUGACGCUGAGACGCGAAAGCGUGGGGAGCGAACAGG
rnacentral:rRNA from 1 species